AGCGAGCACGGGGAUUCCCCUCCCCUCGCCACUUUCCAUCGCUGCUGGCUCGUGGCCACCAGCAGGGAGGUGGGUGUAUUGCCAAGGGCACCCGGAGGACCCCGUGGUGAUGGGGACGUUCUGCAGCUUCGCUGUCAGGGGAUGCAGGAGCCUUCGCUUGUGCCCACAUUGUGCAGCCUUUGAUAGGCACACAUUAGCCAGAAACGGGGACUCAGGAUGGGAUCGAGGUGUCACAUCAAAGUCAUUAACCUGGUUGUGACGUUGUCCUGUGGUUUUCCAAACUGUUAUCAUUCAGAGAGACUGAGCAGAGUGUAUGAGGAAACAUCUGUGUAAUUUCUUACAACUGCAAGUAAAUCUACAAUUAUCUCAAUUGUAAAUGAUACAAUACUCAACCAAAACAUACAACCAUCAGCCAGGUGUGGUGGC
rnacentral:lncRNA from 1 species